CCUAAGCCUAAGUAAAUUUUCAGAGAGGGUCAUUUUCUCUUUGUUCUUUUAUAGUAUAGCUCUUAAGCAGAGUGAGAGCUUUGCCUUUGCUAUUUGAAUAGAAUGUUUUCCUGUGGUUUCUAAUUCUCAGAUCCACUUCUGAGCAUUUCUAUGGAUAUGCCACAACUAGUGGAGUUUGAUUCUUAACCAGUCUAGUAAAAUAUUAUUGAUACAAACUACCACUGGCUGAAGUAAAACAUAAACCACUCAGAGAUUAAAGCAUUUAAAAAGAAAAGGGUUUAUAUGCCAACAAGAUUUGUGAGGGAGUCCAAGAUAUAGAAGGAUAGCUUUCACAAAUUAAAGAUAUGACAAGUAUUUGAAAGAAAAAAACUUACAAAUAUUCCAAGGUCAUCAAGUUUACUGUUAAUCUCUUUAAGGUAGAAAACAGCUUUUGGAUAUGACAUAUCCAAAAAGAUCAUCACAUAUCUUCAGACAUUGGCAUUGUCAAAAUCAGGGAUAUAUUUGUUUCUAUCGGGGAAUAUCUUAUAGGAAAGACUCAAGGUUUCAUUUACUGAGGGAACAAGAAUCAGACAAAUUGACUGUUUUUGCUGAUGUUACUUUAUCUCGGUUGCAAAUUUCCAAGGUCACCUUUGGGCUCAGUGAUUCACUAAAAGAAUACAUAGAACUCAGAAAAGCUAUUAUACUCAUGGUUUAUUACAACAAAAACAUACAAAUUUAAAUCAGCAACUCAAAAAAGGACAUAAGGUAAAGUUCAGGAAGUCUAGGGUUUCCCUGGUAGCUCAGCUGGUAAAGAAUCUGCCUGCAAUUCAGGAGAUCCCAGUUCGAUUCCUGGGUUAGGAAGAUCCCCUGGAGAAGGGUUAGGCUACCCACUCCAGUAUUCUUGGGCUUCUCUGGUGGCUCAGAGAGUAAAGAAUCCGCCUGCAAUGCAGGAGACUUGGGUUUGAUCCCUGGGUUGGGAAGAUUCCCCUAGAGGAGGGCAUGGCAACCCACUCUAGUAUUCUUGCCUGGAGAACAAGAGGAGCCUGAACAGAGGAGCCUAGUGGGGUACAGUCCAUGGGGUCACAAAGAGUCAGACACAACUGAGCAACUAAGCACAGCACAGCAAAGUCCAGGAAACACCAGGCAUGAACUAGAACUUGUCUUCCAGUGAAGUCAUGCAGAUUCUUUUCUGUCUGAGCCACCAAAGCUGGUACCAAAUGGCUGAAAGCCCCAUCAUAAAUCACA
ensembl:lncRNA